AGAGCACACGGUGGAUGCCUUGGCACCAAGAGGCGAUGAAGGACGCGGCUACCAGCGAAAUUCUUCGGGGAGCAGGAAGCAUGCUGUGAUCCGGAGGUGUCCGAAUGGGGGAACCCGGCGGGGGUAAUGCCCCGUCAUCCCGAAAGGGAGGCGAACCCGGGGAAUUGAAACAUCUAAGUACCCGGAGGAAAAGAAAGCGAAUGCGAUUCCCUUAGUAGCGGCGAGCGAAACGGGAACAGCCCAAACCAGUCUGCAUGCAGACUGGGGUUGUAGGACCUCAUCAAAGCUAUCCGUAGGUGUAGUUGAACUGUCUGGAAAGUCAGGCCAUAGAAGGUGAUAGCCCUGUAAACGAAACAUCGAAAGAAGCGAGAGGUAUCCUGAGUACCACGGAGCAAGUGGAAUUCUGUGGGAAUCUGCCCGGACCACCGGGUAAGGCUAAAUACUACUUGGUGACCGAUAGCGAACCAGUACCGUGAGGGAAAGGUGAAAAGAACCCUUCAGAAGGGAGUGAAAUAGAACCUGAAACCGUGUGCUUACAAACGGUGGGAGCAAAUCGUAGCAAUACGAGGAGUGACCGCGUGCCUUUUGCUUAAUGAACCAACGAGUUGCUCGUUACGUGCAAGGCUAAGUGUCUCCGUAGACACGGAGCCGUAGCGAAAGCGAGUCUGAAUAGGGCGCCAUAGUACGUAGCGGCAGACGCGAAACCGGGUGAUCUAUUCAUGGCCAGGAUGAAGCGUGGGUAACACCACGUGGAGGUCCGAACCGGUGUGGGUUGAAAACCGCUCGGAUGAGCUGUGAAUAGGGGUGAAAGGCCAAUCAAACUCGGUUAUAGCUCGUACUCCCCGAAAUGUAUUUAGGUACAGCCUUGCGUUAGUGUCCAGGAGGUAGGGCUCUGAUAGGGCUAGGGCCGUUACCACGGUACCGACCCCUGAUAAACUACAAAUGCCUGAGACAUGGUGCGCAGGAGUGAGGCAGUGGGGGAUAAGCUUCAUUGCCGAGAGGGGAACAACCCAGACUAUCGACUAAGGUCCCCAAGUAAAUGCUAAUAGAUAAAGGAGGUUCAGUUGCAUAGACAGCCAGGAUGUUGGCUUAGAAGCAGCCAUUCAUUUAAAGAGUGCGUAAUAGCUCACUGGUCGAGCGACUGAGCGCCGACAAUACUCGGGACUAAGCAUUUCACCGAAGUCAUAGGAUGCUGCAAUGCAUCGGUAGGGGAGCAUUCUGUAACGCGUCGAAGGUGCAUCGUGAGGUGUGCUGGAGCAUACAGAAGAGCAAAUGUUGGUAUAAGUAACGAUAACGGAAGUGAGAAUCUUCCGCGCCGAAAGUCUAAGGUUUCCUUGAGCUCUGUUCGUCAUCUCAGGGUUAGUCGGCCCCUAAGACGAGACCGAAAGGUGUAGUCGAUGGGAAUCAGGUAACUAAUAAUAUUCCUGAACCACCAAAAACUUUAAACACAGGGACGCAGGAGCACAGGCUAUAAUAGUUAAUGGCUAUCUCUUAUAGCUGUAGCACACUGCCGAGAAAAGCUGUGUGUAUAGUUUAGGUGACCGUACCGGAAACCGACACAGGUAGACAGGUUGAGUAUACUCAGGCGCGCGAGUGAGUCGCUGUUAAGGAACUCGGCAAAUUGACCCCGUAACUUCGGGAUAAGGGGUGCCACGGCAACGUGGCCGCAGAGAAAUGGCCCAGGCGACUGUUUAACAAAAACACAUCUCUCUGCUAACUCGUGAAGAGGAAGUAUAGGGAGUGACACCUGCCCGGUGCUGGAAGGUUAAAGGGAGGAGUCAGCCGCAAGGCGAAGCCCCGAACUGAAGCCCCAGUAAACGGCGGCCGUAACUAUAACGGUCCUAAGGUAGCGAAAUUCCUUGUCGGGUAAGUUCCGACCUGCACGAAUGGUGUAACGAUCUGGGCACUGUCUCAACAGCGAGCUCGGUGAACUUGUGGUACCGGUGAAGACGCCGGUUACCCGCACUGGGACGGAAAGACCCCAUGCACCUUUACUGCAGCUUAUUAUUGGCUCUGAUUGCAUCAUGCGUAGGAUAGGUGGGAGACUGUGAAGCGGAGCUUGUGGGCUUCGUGGAGUCACCGGUGAAAUACCACCCUUGAUGCAGUUGGAUUCUAACCUGGCAGAGUGGAUCUGCAGGGACAGUGGUAGGUGGGCAGUUUGACUGGGGCGGUCGCCUCCCAAAAAGUAACGGAGGCUUACAAAGGUCACCUCAGCACGGUCGGUAAUCGUGCGUAGAGUGCAAAGGCAUAAGGUGGCUUUACUGUGAGACCGACAGGUCGAGCAGUUGCGAAAGCAGGUCUUAGUGAUCCGGCGGUUCUGUGUGGAAGGGCCGUCGCUCAAAGGAUAAAAGGUACGCUGGGGAUAACAGGCUGAUCUUGCCCAAGAGUUCACAUCGACGGCAAGGUUUGGCACCUCGAUGUCGGCUCAUCGCAUC
rnacentral:rRNA from 1 species